CUCCAUCGCUCUUCUCGUCAUUCUAGGGUUGCGUCGCCGCCUGUCCUACUAUUGGUUCUCGUUCCCCCCUUGGGUUUCCGUCCCAAUCUUUUGUGUCCGAUCUGAUGGUUGAGCCACUCUGUUCGCCGAUACACGGCCGAUCUGAUGUUUCGGCGACACCGAUCAUCGAUCAUGCCCGAUUUGAUUAUUUGGAGGUUUCCGUCUUCGAUACAUGGCCAUAUGAUGUUUCGGCGGCUUUGGUAGCCGAUCUAUGAUUUUGAAGCGGUAACUGGAUGCUGGGGUUCGUGCAGAGCUUCGGGGUUCGUGAAUGGAGCUGCAACAGCCUAUGAUCGUGUAUCUCGUUCCAGCUGGUGUUCAUUCAUACCCUAAUUGGACCUUGUUUUUUACGCGGCGCAUCGGGAGACGAAGAUAUAUGUUUCAGACGAGGUUGUUGGUGGACGGAUCCUCAUCAUGUCUCUCGUUUUAAGUACAUAGAACUAGAGAUGUUAAUAUGGGGUUCUUUCUGAUGUAGAGCAUCUGCAAAGCCGGAAAUCUCCAUCGAGGGUAAGGUAAAUUAGGGACAUGUUCAGUCCAUCUAUUCUUUUGUCACACCGACCUUUGCCAUGUUGGGUGCGCUCGCAUGGCAGGUCAAAGAAACAUAAUAAAAAAAGAAGUUUUUUUGUGUUCUUGGGGAGAUCGCAUGGGGUGAUUUUAGAACCCCGGGUUCUCCCCACGGUGUGUAUUUUGUUCCCCUCCAUCUACUCCGCCCUCCAGAUUUCUUGCACGGUUUUCGGGACGAUUCCAUGAACUUCCUGAUCAGUACCUUCUACAAUCAUGAUCCACCAAUAUUCGUGGCAAUUCGGAAGCAUAGUGAACAUACUGAGGCACACAUCUACGGGAAUCGUCUGCAUCAUACUAAGGUACUAUUUUCUUACACGAUGUGGUCACCCCAAAGCCAUCCUCUCUGCCAGUUGCAAGGUAUGAUUUACUUCGAGUUAGCGUUCGAACGACUUAUGCAAUUGAAAAUAAUUCCGCAUCUAUCAGUUAGUGAUUAUUGAUCUAUCACCAAGACUGUUUAGUCAAUAUCCAUAAUAAUCCUGGUUUACCCAGUGUUGUCUCCACCCGGUUUAGAGUACCGCUUUCGAUCUCGUUACAUUUAAGUAUUAAGCAUUUAUUUAUGCGUUCUUGUCUCGAAUACCAAGGUGUUCAUGGAUCAUUGUGCAAUUGUUGUGGUAUAUUGUCCGCUUGGUCUUUGUAUUUCAAUUUAGAUGUUUUACUUGUUUGUUUAUGAUGUAACUUGUCAAGCAAAGGACCCUAUCUAGGCAAUGUCGUUAUGCCUCGGAACUGUGUGAUUGCAUGUUGUAUGUGAGAUAUUUUGUAUCUUUGUUCAUAAUGUUUCCUAGGAUCGAUUCGUGGUCGGCCUCUCGUGGCGGUCUUCAGAUUUGUGGAUUCAGCUGCUGUGAAGACUCGUGGCGGUAGAAGACUGCUGGUAUUCGCUUCGAUGACUUGGGGCUUCAGUGUGUACCAUGGUCGCUCAGUUUAUCUUGAGCCUGGAACCGAUCUUCCGGAUUCUUCCUUCUCGUUCUGUGCAGCUGCAGUUCGCCACUUGCUUGAGAUUUCAACGUGUCUGCUCGUUCGCUGCUGUAAAAUGGUUUGCUCAACUAAUUUAUUUCUUUCAUGCAUAUCAAGCUUCAUGUUAGCUAACAUUUGAUCGCAGAGUCAGUUGGGAGGUUGUACGCCUAAAUUUGUGUGCUCUUAAGAGGUUUAAUGGUUGUAUCGACGGUGAAUCUGUGUUAAUUAAUUGCCAUUAACACUGUUAUGAAGAUGUGCUGUUGUAUAUCAACGGCAGUUGUGUUAA